CGAACGGGUGAGUAACACGUAGGUAACCUACCUUCGAGAUGCGGAUAAGCACUGGAAACGGUGUCUAAUAGGCAAUAAGAUAUUUGAUGGCAUCAUCGAAUAUUGAAAGGGGCUUUCAAGCCUCACUUGAAGAUGGACCUGCGGUGCAUUAGCUAGAUGGCGGGGUAAAGGCCCACCAUGGCGACGAUGCAUAGCCGGCCUGAGAGGGUGAACGGCCACACUGGGACUGAGACACGGCCCAG
rnacentral:rRNA from 1 species